UACUAAAAUAGGGAGUCUGGCGCCCUCUAGCGGUAAGGAGUUCAAGCAUUUUUACCCACUCCUGAGCUCCAGCCCCUCUCUGUAAGUGGAGGGUAGGGACUAAAGAAGCCUAAACUUCUACCAAGCGACACUCACCGCUGUCCUCACAGGUUUCCCGGAUGUAAGUAAGCCUGCUGGUCAGAGUCACUGGUUCUAGCCCCAUGCCGGCACUGCAUUUCCAUCAGGGACUGCCUACUGGGAUGAAAAGCAAGACUACCUGUGACGUUCUAUAGCCCUGCAAGAGGACACCAGCAAGCAGACAACAGAAGGGUGGAUGGUUGCUCUCCAAAUUCCUGUGCCAAGGACCCAGCCUGUACACUGUUCCUUUGAAGAGAUGGCCUUUUGCUAAGGGCACAGCCAGUACACCAUUCCUCUGAGGCGCUGGCCUGUGCGCCAAUCUCCUUGCUUUCUCUUACCUGCCUCCAUCUUCAAAGUCAUUGUUCUCUUUCAGCAAAACUGCAAGCUGCAAGGCCAGCUGCUCCUUUUCUUCAUGAAUCUUCUCCCUGGCUGCUCUCUCAGCAUGAAAAUCUGAGCAGUACACCUCCAUCUGUUAGAGGGAAAGUUAAGUUACCAUGGAGACGAGCAUGGAUUCAGGAGGAUCUGACCCUGACCUGAGAUCAGGGUCCAUGCUGCACCUGAAGACAGGCUUCGGGAAUGACAGACUUGUGUUGUGAACUGGGGUGAUAAAUCAUGGCUUUCCAAUGUCUUUAAAUGGUAGGUAUAAGCUGCAUGUGUGUGGGUGCUUUAAACAAUAGGAACUCCUAAACUGAACUGAUAAAUGGCUUAAGGGAUACAUGAAUCAUUAAUUCAGUAAAAUAUUUAAAAAAAAAUAGAACUCAGGAAUAAUAUAGUAAAUGGCUUACCAGAAUGUUGGUCUUAAGGUAAAUUUAAAAUAAAUAAAUAUACAGUAUUUGUUGAACUCCA